GCUCCGAAGCGUCUGUGUUCCGCGUUUGUUUUGUGACGGAAGUGAAAAGAUAAUUAGCUCGUUUUAACUGUCGAUUGCAAGCACCUCUUAACGAGGCGCGUCGUACGUGGGUGACUAUCCGUUGCAGGUCGAGGACUACUUCUCCUGCCCAUUCCCCGCUUUAAUUCUCUCUAGAUUUUAAUUCAGUUUAUCAAUUUCCCCCAAUUUCAAAAACCCUAGCCUCAGAACUCUAAGCCCAGUCGUUUCGAUUCAACCCGCGCACUCAUCAAAUCGCAGUAUUGGUCAUCGUUGCCAGCAUCAUCGACGCGACUUCCUAGCUUUGGAUUUCGUCGCGGUCUUCUUCAGAUCUCAUUCUCCGAUCUGCGACUUAUGGGCACCAGGUGUAGAGGAUGAGUUUUUCCCGUUUCGGCUUCGGCAAAUUUGCGGCUUUCAUAAAUUACACAUUUGAAGAUGCAAAUAACGACUACCCACAGUGUUCCAUGGCUGUUGGUGGAUGGUUUGAAUCACUCUCGAGGCUCAGGUUUUGUGAUGCCUGUUAUUGGAUAUGAAGGCACUUAAAUUGGUUGGAACGUUUCAGUAUCAUCUCUAUUCAAUUGGAUUAUCAGGUACCCUAUCAUAGUUGCAGCCGUGGGAUGAAAUUCUUGUUGUAUAUAUAUUGAUGAGUUCGUAAAUCUAUUCUAUUAUACAUUUUAACAUGCAAUAUAAAGUAUAUGAAAGGUGCCAACUGGCUUUUGUGUAUAGACAUAUGCAUUUAACAACAUAUAGAACAUUAAAAAUAUGUAUCGAGUAAUGAUUUUUGCUAUUGUACCUUCAAUGCAUACAUGUCUCAUUUAUUU